UACGGAGGAUCCGAGCGUUAUCCGGAUUUAUUGGGUUUAAAGGGUGCGUAGGCGGACUGGUAAGUCAGCUGUGAAAGUUUACGGCUCAACCGUGAAAUUGCCGUUGAUACUGUUGGGCUUGAGUAUUCAUGAGGUGGGCGGAAUUUGUAGUGUAGCGGUGAAAUGCUUAGAGAUCACAAAGAAUACCAAUUGCGAAGGCAGCUCACUGGGGUAUGACUGACGCUGAUGCACGAAGGUGUGGGUAUCGAACAGG
rnacentral:rRNA from 1 species